ACGGAGGGUGCAAGCGUUAAUCGGAAUUACUGGGCGUAAAGCGCACGUAGGUGGUUUUUUAAGCUAGAUGUGAAAGCCCCGGGCUCAACCUGGGAACUGCAUUUAGAACUGGGGAACUAGAGUAUAGUAGAGGAGUGUGGAAUUUCAGGUGUAGCGGUGAAAUGCGUAGAGAUCUGAAGGAACAUCAGUGGCGAAGGCGACACUCUGGACUAAUACUGACACUGAGGUGCGAAAGCGUGGGUAGCAAACAGG
rnacentral:rRNA from 1 species